rnacentral:misc_RNA from 1 species
GAUGAAGAACGCAGCGAAAUGCGAUAAGUAGUGUGAAUUGCAGAAUUCAGUGAAUCAUCGAAUCUUUGAACGCACAUUGCGCCCGCCAGUAUUCUGGCGGGCAUGCCUGUUCGAGCGUCAUUACAACCCUCAGGCCCCCGGGCCUGGCGUUGGGGAUCGGCGGAGCCCCCCGUGGGCACACGCCGUCCCCCAAAUACAGUGGCGGUCCCGCCGCAGCUUCCAUCGCGUAGUAGCUAACACCUCGCGACUGGAGAGCGGCGCGGCCACGCCGUAAAACACCCAACUCUUCUGAAGUUGACCUCGAAUCAGGUAGGAAUACCCGCUGAACUUAAGCAUAUCAAUAAGCGGAGGA